ensembl:antisense Gm16541 predicted gene 16541
GAAUGGUCUGCUUGGAACCUGAGCAGCACUGACUUCUGAGGAAGACUGAGAUGGAGACACCCGCCAGUGUCCUGUCGCUCCCGCAGUCUGAACUUCCCAACAGUCCAUGUCCUUUGGUUUAAAAAGUCUUUGUAAAGUCAACAUCCUUCCUAUCAGAAUGGUCUGCACCUCGUCUCUGGGACUCAGGUUUACUUGCAGAGAUCUUCUGGGGAAGACAACCUUCUUUUUGAUCUUUUGGCACAAAGGCAGGAGGCCCGUGGCCUUCCUCCUGGUCACUUGACUUGAGGAGAGCUGUCCCCCUUCGAGCUUUAGGGAGAUGACCCAGACAGUGAAGUACUACUUGGCGUAACAACACGAGGAUCUGAGUUCAAACUGAAGCACCGUGAGAAUGAAGAAAAAAGCUCUGUCUUGUGGCCUGCAACCUCAGGGACAGGGAAGCAGACGGAAGGAGCCCAGCCAGUCUAGCAAAACAACAAGCUCAAGGUUCAAGCCUACAAACAGAAGUGAAGCAGUGGUGGGGCAGCAUCAAUAAAGGUAGCAGAGGAAAGAAAGAAAAAGGAACCAUCGGCUACUAAAGGUGUCACAUUAAAUGUCACAGGGACUGUGUUAAAUUG